rnacentral:rRNA from 1 species
GAUGAACGCUGGCGGCGUGCUUAACACAUGCAAGUCGAACGGACUUUUAAUGAAACCUAGUGAUUUAAAAGUUAGUGGCGGACGGGUGAGUAACGCGUGGGUAACCUGCCGUAUGCUGGGGGACAACAGUUAGAAAUGACUGCUAAUACCGCAUAAGCGCACAGUAUCGCAUGAUACAGUGUGAAAAACUGAGGUGGCAUACGAUGGACCCGCGUCUGAUUAGCUAGUUGGUGAGGUAACGGCUCACCAAGGCGACGAUCAGUAGCCGGCCUGAGAGGGUGAACGGCCACAUUGGGACUGAGACACGGCCCAA